CUGAGGAAUCAACAUCGAUGUUUGCAAACAACGAUAUUUUUCGAUAUUAUCGAGUAUUCAAAUCGUAGAAUUUUAUUCUUCGGAUGUUUGAGCAUAGAUAAUGGGACUGUUCGUGAAGAAAUUUCUUCUUAACAAUUGUUAUUGUUGUUUUUACUGGAUACAUUUUUACUUGCACAAAUUUGAAAGUGAGAAAAAAGCUAAUCGCAAAGUAAAAAUAAACACGAAUUAAUAUUUGUGGAUUGAGUCAGAGUUCUGAAUUUAAACAAAAAUGGUGUUUAAAAUGGUUAAUGUGAUGGCAACCGGCGUACGUAUAAACCUACAUGUAUUUGUUGUUGCCUUUGGUGUAGGCAUCACGUCAAAAUCAGCUGUUUGUUUUCAGGGUGAUUUGCUUGUGAAACGUAAAUAAAAUAAUUCAUGUUUCGCGUUUAAAUUGCUUAGUACUUCCGAUUAAUUUAUUAAAUUGUGGGCCUGAGUAAAUUGCUUUGAAGAUGCCAGCAUAUGCAAUGCGGUGAUGUGUGUGCAGCACCGGCUUGGAGGAUUCGAUGCAAUUACAAUGAGCGUUAAAAACGCUCGCCAAAACUAAGCAUUGAUUGUUUUCCAUAUUUAUAACGAUUAGAAGAGGAAAAAGAGCCAACACGCUUACCUAAUUUACUACUUGAAGAAAAGUUAGCUGAAAGACCACGCUGGAAAUAGUCACAAAAUAAAAGAUAUGAAAAAAGUCACCUACAUUUGCGGUAUUUUAAUUUAUAAUACAUAUUUCAAGUCUGCCACGGGCAUUAAUAAGGUGAAAAUGAAAAUAGAGGAUGAUGUUUGGACACGGAAAAGAUUAAAAUAGAGAAACACAACAAAAAAAAACUUCGAAACAAGGGCAAAAUUAAAAUCUUACUGCAUACUAAGAGUAAUGUAUGCAAUAUUUUAGCUCAAUUGUUAUUUUUAAUUUGCAAUUUUUACAUGUGUAAUUCUCUAUCAUCUUGGCUAUCAGAAAUCCGCCCUUGGCUACUAAUGACUAUGAUGACUUUAUGUAAAUACUGUUGAGAAUCGCAUACCAUAUAAACUGUACACUUAAAAAUUCUAGAUAACAAAUUUCUUACAUGCUUGGGAACUCAUUUUAUAUUAUAUAUUUAUCUACAAUAUAAUAUAAAAAUAAGUCGGGGUUUCCUUCCUGACCCUAUAACUCGAGAACGCACUAACCGAUUUCCACGGUUUUGCAUUCGUUGUAAAGGUCUCGGGCUCCGUGACGUUUAUAACAUGUACUCUGCUCAGUUAAUUUCAUGUAACAUUUAUUAUGCGCACGUUUUUUCAAACGCUAACUUAAAACCGGUAUUUCGUUCACUGUGAUAUUUUAAAAUUGAGGUUAAAGUUAUUCGUUUACUAACAGUUCAACUGGAAACUAUUAAAUCAAUCACAUGUAUUGUGCAAAUUUUUGUUUAACUUCAACAGCAGGCAUUUGUCCUUAAGGUGGUAAGUUGAACUGUGUAAAUUAUGUGGAUCGUUCAUUUGAGGUUAAAUUCACCAGUCUGUCCAUAGUCCAAAAUGCCGA